UGAACCUGCGGAGGGAUCAUUACCGA
rnacentral:rRNA from 1 species